GGUUCUCUGCCCUGUAUAUUAGUGCAUG
rnacentral:misc_RNA from 1 species